CGAGCACACAUUUGAGAUUUUUGUCAACAGGAAUCGGGAUACCACGGGGCGUACAGAAAUAAAAUUAGUAGAGAACGCCAAGCACUCAAGUCGCUAGAAAAGAAAAACAUUUUGAAAGGACAAACACACUCGAAACGCGAGCAGCCCGGCGAAGGACCAAAACCAAAUCAUCGGGGGUAGCUGUAGCCGGUGGUCCUGCGGACGGGUAGUUGUCAUCAUUUGUUGAUUUUCAUUCCGCCUUGGCUCGUUUCAGCUCCUUCGUCGCGCUGCCUCGUAAAAAAUCCUUUAAGUGCACUCCAGAGCACAAUGCACUCGCCUCCGACGGCCGAGUGUCCCGUCUGCAGUAGGUUCCGCUGGGCGACCCUUCUUCCAUCCAUCCAUUGAGCCCGGCACGCCUCGUCAUCGCAUAGCCUCUCAUCUCAUCAGUCAUCAGCUGGGAUUACACGGGCCGAUUCGUAUCGCAAGACCCUAGAUUAGCUCUAUUUAAAUCUAUUCCCCCAGCUGCUGUCCCAUUCGAUCUAUAAUCGCCUGCAACUACAUUUCUAUAGUGAACUACUGUAUUAAAUGCACACCAGAAAAAUCCGUUGUAUCUUGUCGAAAUGAUGAUACCACUAUAAUCUACAGCUGCCGAACAUCUCCUCCCGAUGCCCUGCUAAUUUACAAUUUCAAUGUCACGCUUCGAGCAAGUGACGAUAAAUUCGCACUACUCGCGGAAAAUAUGGGACCUGAAAAGGGCCAGAUUCUGGAGGGGAUUGGCGGGGAGACGCCUCGCAUCGCUGGCUUCUUGCACUUAGUGAAAUUACAUGGCUGCCAGGACUUGUUGAUUGCCCCCGGUUGCUCCAUUGCUCCCUCUGUUGGCUAAAUUUAGCGUUAUUAAAAAAUUAAGCUGACAACAUUCUGUUGUCAUCCGGAGGCCGAGGAAGAAACAGUAGCCGCCAGUGGCAGACUAUCGAAAUGGGGGUAUCUGCCAGCGAAAAUGGGUUGCCUUCCAUAUACCUCCACCCACGGAUGCCGGUCCAAAGUUCCAGUGUCUGAGUCCCGACCCAGACGUGAUUACCAGUCGCUGGAGUAGUGAAAAGUACACGAGUUGUAAGUCAAACUGACACUGAAGAUUAUGGUUUAUGUCGACAAAGUUGACACGUUGUUUAUCAAAAAUGCAAGUCAAGGACUUUGUGUCCGCUGGAGUCGUGAGCUGGCGGAAAACAACAACAACUUUGUGUUGACGGAUGCAUGGCAAGUGCAAGACAAAGGCCCAGACCUUAGCAUCCAGACCCUACAGAUCCGACUGCAUAAGCGACUGCAACUGCAACUGCAACUGGUGCCACCAACAACACCCCACAAGGGCCAACAGAGGAAGCAAACCGUCAGAUAAGCGCGGACUUUUGGGGAGCGGGGAUUUUCCGGGGGACGGGGCCAGCUUGUUGUGCGUGUGUCUUACAAACUGUUGUAAUUAAUUUGGUUUCUUCUCGCGGGGCUGCAUCAAAUGCAGUCGAGAUAAUGCCAAGUCUGAGUGCAUUAUGUUCUGCUUAAAGUCGUUAUAAAUCAGAGAUGCGAUCUGUGGACACAUGAGUGAUUAUGUGCGUCCCGAUUGAUGGGUGCGAAAUAUCAAACACUUAAUGAAGAAAAUGGUUCUUUAAAUUACUUCAUUUAUUUUGAUA